rnacentral:lncRNA from 1 species
UAUGCUUAAGAGAGCCUAACCCCCUCCACACACUGGGGCUUCCUUUUUUCAAGCCCUAUCUUUAUCCAGGUGGGAAAAUGCCUCAAAAGCCUUAAGUCAGAUCAAGCAAUGAUCACCAGUUAAUGCACAGAAAUAACUAAAUGGGACUCAUGUUCCUCUUGUUUCUGGGCAGGGUGGAGGAGGAAGAAGUCUUUAAUCUUCUGAGUUGUGCCUUAUUAGGCAGCAGAGAGAUGCUCUCUGACUUGGCACGUGGCCUGUGAUCUUCCAGGAUGAAAAGUUCUGUCUGAAUGCAGGCAGGGAUGAUUUGCUAAUCAAGGAUGAGACAGAGCAAGUGGCAUGCCCAACAGGACAGGGACAGCCAGGCUGAGGCCACCCCCUUCCUAUUGAUUUAUAUUUCUAUUCACUGUUCUGAAAUGUGGAGAGCUCAUAACCCUCCGGAAAGACCGUUUCAGCUGCUGGUGGGGAGUUAGUGUUUCAGGAAUGAGGGUGGUGAGGAGAAGCCUUUGCUCUGAAACUUAUGUGGUCUGGAAACUUCAGGAUCUUAUCUUCCUCCUUCUCUUCUCUCCUCCUCCUUGUCUUUCCUCUCCUCCUCUUUUUCCUCCUUUUGCUGUCAGUUGCCUAAGGGAAGGGAUCUUGGCCUUAGCUGCUAAGUUGCCAGGGUUGUUCAGGGAAGGCUAAAAGAUGCAGGAGGCAAGAGGAAGCCCAAGGCCUUUCUUGUCUCAUCAGUCUUUCCGGGUCCUGGGCUGAGGCAGACAGGAUGGCUCGGUGAGCUUGUGACAACAUUCCAGGCCUGCAGCUCGGAUGGCAGCUGUCCAUGGCAGGCCAGACUUUGGAAUAUCUCACUAGAACCUUGCUUGUCUCACAGCCCCCACCCCGAAGCUAACACCCUUUUGUCUCCAGCUGGUCCUUGGCCCCCUGCUGUUCUCAUUUGUGAUUUUAUUUUCCCUGAAUGCAGGGAGUUACUCAGAGCUGGGCUCUUGUCCAACUGGUCCUGCACGAUCUUUUUCUUCCCCGGGAUGCUAGCUCCUCUUCUUGAGGAUUCUUGCUGGGUCUGCCUUCCCUCUCUCCAUCUGGUGCUGUACGCCCGCUGAGUGGGCCCUGCAGGGCUGGAGUUGGCUAGGCUGGGCAGCCAGCAAGCCAGCAAAGCCCCUACAGCCGUGAACCGGGAAUCCAGGAUGCCUACUCUGCCAGUCUAUGUCAAAAAGACAAAACACCUAGAGAGGUUUAAAAACAUUCAGGAGAAGAAAAAGCAAGCGCACAGCAUGAGAGAGCUUUGUCCAGCCAGCACUUUUACUAGCAAUAAAUCUGCCUUAAAAUGUAUAAGGAUAUACAGAAAAAGAAAAUUGAGCAAAUCACUUUGGUGGAAACCCAUUUCUCCCGCACUCGGCCAUUUCUCUGCAUCAGCUCUUCACUCUCCCAGGGAGAGCUCCCAGCCAAGUAAGACAACAGUGUAAACAAAAGUCACCCCAGGCCCAAAACCAAGUUUCCUGCAGGGCACUGUCUGCUGCGGCUGGCAGAACCUACUGGGUUUCUGGCUUUGUGCUGACCUUUGCAAGUGUGCUUCAGCUGGAAAAAUCAGACCUAUCUAUCUAUCUCCAUGUUGAAGACCCCCCCCGGGUUCAGGCUAUACAGGGUGGACAAGGUCCAAGUGUCUCAUCCUUCCUGAUCCUGAGGACGGUGGUGGUUUCUGGAGGAGUCCAAAGUGAUCCCAGCCAUACUGCCUGGGAAUGAUUGCUUACCACCCAGGAACAGAACCUGGGGUCUAUUCUCUGCAGCUGGAUCUAUGGAGGUCAGACGAGUCUGCUAUAACAUAUUUUGUUAUGUGAAAUUGUAGCACGACAAGCUGCAGACAAAACUCCUCAGACACGGAGUCAAAGAAGGAAGAGGUUUAUUCGGCCGGGAGCAUCGGCAGGACUCCUGUCUCAAGAGCCAAGCUCCCCAGACCCACUAAUGGACUAAGUAAUGUUUCUGUUGGUGACUCUAAGCAAGGAAAACAAAUAAGGCAAAGAAGGAGGUAAAAGAGACAAGUAAGACAUCUGAGAACCUGCAAUGACUCUUGGGAAGACAUCAAAGCAGAAAAAGAAAGAAGUGGCAAGUGACAAAAGAGAUGUUUUUGACCUUCGUGGAGAAGAAGUUUGGUGGUGGGGCAGGAGCAGAAGUUAGAACUCGGGAUUUCUUUGUUCACCUUGGCUGCGAAGCCACCCAUAUAUGACCAGUGUUGAAACUCAUUGCACCAGGCCAACCAAUUAGUCUGUAUUGGCCCCAUAAACUUUGAGCUGACAAGUAUCAAGUGAAAGGUUCUUGAGAAUAAGACUGAAAAAUCCUUCUUACUUCCCCCUACAAAAAAAAUUCUCCAGCCCCAGAAUGUUAUUCCUUCCCAAGAAACACAAAUUAACUAGCUGCACUAAUGACCUCCAGACCAACACAAACCCAUUUCCCCUUGAAAUUAACCUUCUAUUCUGAAUCUAAACAGUGUCUAAUUAGCCCCAAACACUGGUGAGCUAACUGGAAGAGAAGAAUGUAGGAAAUCAAAACAAGGGGAUAGUUUUACGGUUGGAAAAAAAAAAAUAGCGAAAAGCCAUCCUCCAAUUAUCCUAUCCUUCUAACCUCCGCCCCCAGAUCCUUAUCCUGCAUCUUCAUUUGUCUUCCUUUCCGUAAACCUUGUAAAGGAGUCUGCUUUUCAGACAAAUAUUUUUCCCAGCUCAUUUGACACCUAGAAGGCAGGAAAAAUAUUGCCCAUCACGAUAAAUAUAAUAUUCCAAUUUUCCAGCAUUUGACAGCAAUCAAGGGAAGAGUAAUGUGUUCCCUCUGUGACUAAAUCAUUUAGAGACCAAGGUAUUCUGUCUCAUUCUCAUUAGGAAAAAAAAAUAUUCCAAUAAUCUCAUUAUCCCAGUGUGAAUAACAGUAAAAAAGCACCAAGACUAAUGACUUCUUCCGCGCUUGCCUCCGCAGAUACCAGCCCAGGCCGUGCUUUUAUAGGCAAUGCUUGGGUAAUGGAGUCUCCCUUAGCAGCGAUCCUGUAGCAUCUGCUGCUCUGAAAGCCCUGCCUAACACAUUCUGCUUUGUCUGCAGCAAGGUUUACACACACCCCUGGACUCCAAAGACUCUUUUUUAUGUACUUUUUAAAAAACUAACUCCAAUGGAAAAAGAAUGUGUCAUGGCAUGUUAAACUUUAUGGAAAUUCUUCUGGAGAAUAACAUAAUUUCACGGUGCAUUACUCUGAAAUGACCUAGUACUUGAACAAUUAAUUUUUAAGGUGUAGCAUUGACUUCCCCUUGCUGUAUUUAACCCAUAUCUGAAAUUGUCAACAAUGCCAAGGGUUGGACAAUGAGUUGGGAGAAGAGCAGGAGCCUGAAAAUUACUCCCUAUCUACUAUGUUUUCUUUUAUCAGACAUAAUGCUUCCCUCUUUGGUUCAAAAAUGAAAAGAGAAGGGAGCAGGUACUUUAGUUAGGGACACUUCAUAGGCAGCACAGCCUGGCAGGUAAAUAGUGCAGUCCUGGAGACAUAAACUCGACGUCUUACCUUUGUCAUUAAUUUACUGUGUAGCCUUAGAGAAACUCCUUUUUCUCUCUGUAGCUAAAAUGGGGGAAGGAGAGGUUUUGUUUGUUAUGCCCCCAAAAGGAAUUCAGUGAUAGAAAAUGAAUAGAUGUAUAAUAUAUCCUCUGAUUCCUUGAAAUAAAAGCUCUGAAUGUUU